GUGAGGGUAGAAUAGUGGUUCGAACAUUGGACUACAACUCUGAAGACCAGGGUUUGAAUCCCUGCUCAGCCA